rnacentral:misc_RNA from 1 species
UUUCCGUAGGUGAACCUGCGGAAGGAUCAUUAAAAAAUUGGACUCCAUUGGUGAGUUCAUUAAUAAUCCCUACCCUUUGUGAAUUUGUCUUGUUUGAAUAAUUUUUUUCCAAAAAAAAUUAUUGAAUGUCUUUCCUUGUUUUGGUGGAGCUUGUAAAGUGAAACCAGGCAGGGGAAUGGCAAACAAUAAUUAUUUUUGAAAAAGACCUUUUUUUAAAAUUAAACUUUUUGUAUUCAUUUGUCUAAAAUUAAUUUUUAUAAUAUAAAAACAACUUUUGACAAUGGAUCUCUUGUUCUCGCAACGAUGAAGAACGCAGCAAAAUGCGAUAAGUAGUGUGAAUUGCAGAAUACGUGAAUCAUCGAUCUUCGAACGCAUAUUGCACUUUUUAGUUUACUAAAAAAGUAUGUCUGUUUGAGUAUCAGUAAAAUAUUCUCAUAAAAAACAUUGUUUUUUUUAUGGUUAUGAGUGUUUUACAACGAUAACAAGUUGUUUCACUUUAAAUUCUUUGUUUAUCAAAAAAAUCAUUAAAAGCUAAUUUUAAAGAUUUUUUAAAAUUGGAUAAAAUUUCCCGUAAAAAGGAAUAACCUAAACAAUUUUAAAAAAUUAAAAUUGGUUUGAUUUUUUUUGAAACCCAAAGGAAAAAAAAAACGAAAUUAACUUGAUCUCAAAUCAGAUAAGAGUACCCGCUGAACUUAAGCAUAUCAAUAAGCGGAGGAAAAGAAACUAACUAGGAUUCCCUCAGUAACGGCGAGUGAAGCGGGAAGAGCUCAAAUUUGAAAUCUUCAAGGUUUUACCUUGACGAAUUGUAGUUUAAAGAAGUGUUUUCUGUUGGAGUUUGGUAAAAGUUCUUUGGAAAAGGACAUCAUAGAGGGUGAGAAUCCCGUAUUUGACCAUUAUCUCCAGCUUUGUGAUACACUUUCAAAGAGUCGGAUUGUUUGGGAAUGCAGUCCAAAAUGGGUGGUAAAUUUCAUCUAAAGCUAAAUACUGGCGAGAGACCGAUAGCGAACAAGUACGUGAGGGAAAGAUGAAAAGACUUUGAAAAGAGAGUUAAACAGUACGUGAAAUUGUCAAAAGGGAAGCGUUUGACACCAGUGUUGUUUUCUCGAAAAUCAAUUAAAAAAGGCCGGAUUUUGUGUUGUAUUGACUUUAUCAGCUUUCUGCACUCUUUUCUUGUCUUUUUUAAUGCACUUUUCGUUUAACAAGUCAACAUCAAUUUCUUUUGUUGUAAAAGGGUCAUUGGAAGGUGGCUUUCUUUUCGGAGAAAGUGUUUAUAGCCUUUGGCCUCUGCAAUCGGAGAGAUUGAGGUCUGCAGCGUAGAUCCUUCGGGGUUGGAUACAUUUGUGCUAAGUUAUAGCCUUUCAUAGACAACUUGUUGACUAUGAUCAGUCAUGUAGCUUACUCGCUUAUGCUAUUUUACCUACGCUUAGGAUGUUG